GAGAAGCUUGCGGCUGAUUAGCUUGUUGGUAAGGUAAUGGCUUACCAAGGCGACGAUCAGUAUCUGGUUUGAGAGGACGAUCAGACACACUGGAACUGAGACACGGUCCAGACUCCUACGGGAGGCAGCAGUAGGGAAUUUUCCGCAAUGGGCGAAAGCCUGACGGAGCAAUACCGCGUGAGGGAUGAAUGCCUAUGGGUUGUAAACCUCUUUUUUCAGGGAGGAACAAAAUGACGUGUACCUGAAGAAUAAGCAUCGGCUAACUCCGUGCCAGCAGCCGCGGUAAGACGGAGGAUGCAAGUGUUAUCCGGAAUCACUGGGCGUAAAGCGUCUGUAGGUUGUUAAUUAAGUCAACUGUUAAAACUUGAGGCUUAACCUCAAAAUCGCAGUCGAAACUAUUUAACUAGAGUAUAGUAGGGGUAAAGGGAAUUUCCAGUGGAGCGGUGAAAUGCGUAGAUAUUGGAAAGAACACCGAUGGCGAAGGCACUUUACUGGGCUAUUACUAACACUCAGAGACGAAAGCUAGGGUAGCAAAUGGGAUUAGAU
rnacentral:rRNA from 1 species